UCAAAUUUCCCGCACUUUUUCAAUCCCUAGGAAGGAGAGAGCGCGAGACAAGACGGGACAUCCUACAAAGCCUAACAUUUCUGCCAAUAUUACAGGAUGGACAGCUUAGGAUACCACACGGAGGGGGGUGAAGGAGCCUUGGGGAUGCCUGAAGGAGGGGCAGUGAAGGAGGGAGGCCUGGAGGUGAAGGAAAUGCAGAAAAUUCCUCUAAUACUGAGCGCUUCUCUGGUCAGACCAUCCUUCAUUGAAUAUUUGGACCGAGGCUUCAAGAUACGAGUGAGCCAGGCGACCCUCCAGAACAGCGCCAUCCUGCCCACUUGUGGUGUGGCAGCCCUGAUCGUACCCCUCCCUCCCUCCUCCUCCUCCUCCUCCAGCAAAGAAGAGACCUUUGAUCAGCUGGUGGACAGGGUCCGCGCCUUUAGCCGAGUACACGCGGGGGGCGUUGUAAUACUGGUGGGUGCUGUGUUUGGCAUGGAGGAGGUGAACGGGGUGUUGGGGAAGUUAUCAAGGAGGUUACUACCACGCCCUCCCCUGCUACUGCCUGCCCACGGGGAAGCCCAGGCUGCCGCGCACAUACAACUACUGGCAAAGGCGGUGGUGGGGGGGCGGGAGGGCGUAGUCUGGAGGAGGCUGGCAGGGGUUAUGGAGGGGGUCCUGGCAUCCCCCGUCUCCCCCACUCCCUCGCUACCCCCAUUGGCCUCUCACCGGCACAAGUAGCGGCGGGGCUGGAAGUGGGCGGGAGUUUAGCAGGUUUCGCUAAGAUUGGGCUGGAAGUUAACGGAGGAGGAGGAGGCGCGGCACGUGACAAUGCAAUACAGGGCUUACAGAGGGCAGGCGUGACUGGGCCCUGCCUCGCCGCCCUUUUCAACACCUUAGAGAGAGAUAUACUCACCUUGUAGAGAGAGAGAGAGAGAGAGAGAGAGAGAGAGAGAGAGAGAGGGAGAGAGAGAGAGAGAGAGAGAGAGGAUAUAUUUUAAUUUUCUUUCGUUAUAUAUUCAAUUUAUUUAUUUAUUUAUUAUUUUAACGGUUAUUUUCUUUUCUCUAUUUUUCGUUCGUUUUUUUUUAUUAUGGAAUGUUGAAUUUUACCUAUAUUUGUUUACAUUUUUUUUUAUCAAUUUCUUUCGAUUUUAUAUUCAGUUAAUUUAUUUAUCUUUAUUUUUUUAAGACCAUUUAUUUAUUUUCUUUAUUUUUUUCGUUCAUUUUCAUAAUGGGAAUAUUUACUUUUAUAUAUAUUUUUCAAUUACUUUUCAUUUCUUCGAUUUAAAUGUGUCCAAGUACUUGCAAGGAUCAUUUAUUUAUUUAUUUACUUUUAUUUUCCGUCCGUUUAUUUAUUUAUUUAUUUAUUUAUUUAUUUAUCUUUUUUUUAUAAUGGAAACUUAUUUCAUCUUUAUUCCCGUUUUCUGUUACUUGUUCAUGCCAGGGGUGACAAUAAAUAUUAAGAUUA